rnacentral:rRNA from 1 species
GCAUAUCAAUAAGCGGAGGAAAAGAAACUAACAAGGAUUCCCCUAGUAGCGGCGAGCGAAGCGGGAAGAGCUCAAAUUUAUAAUCUGGCACCUUCGGUGUCCGAGUUGUAAUCUCUAGAAAUGUUUUCCGCGUUGGACCGCACACAAGUCUGUUGGAAUACAGCGGCAUAGUGGUGAGACCCCCGUAUAUGGUGCGGACGCCCAGCGCUUUGUGAUACAUUUUCGAAGAGUCGAGUUGUUUGGGAAUGCAGCUCAAAUUGGGUGGUAAAUUCCAUCUAAAGCUAAAUAUUGGCGAGAGACCGAUAGCGAACAAGUACCGUGAGGGAAAGAUGAAAAGCACUUUGGAAAGAGAGUUAACAGUACGUGAAAUUGUUGGAAGGGAAACGCUUGAAGUCAGACUUGCUUGCCGAGCAAUCGGUUUGCAGGCCAGCAUCAGUUUUCCGGGAUGGAUAAUGGUAGAGAGAAGGUAGCAGUUUCGGCUGUGUUAUAGCUCUCUGCUGGAUACAUCUUGGGGGACUGAGGAACGCAGUGUGCCUUUGGCGGGGGUUUCGACCUCUCACACUAGGAUGCUGUAAAAAACAAAAAACCCCCA